rnacentral:rRNA from 1 species
AAGUCGAACGGUAACAGGCCUUCGGGCGCUGACGAGUGGCGGACGGGUGAGUAACGCGUAGGAAUCUGCCUUAUAGUGGGGGACAACGUGGGGAAACCCACGCUAAUACCGCAUACGCCCUACGGGGGAAAGGAGGGGAUCUUCGGACCUUUCGCUAUGAGAUGAGCCUGCGUUAGAUUAGCUAGUUGGUAGGGUAAAGGCCUACCAAGGCGACGAUCUAUAGCUGGUCUGAGAGGACGAUCAGCCACACUGGGACUGAGACACGGCCCAGACUCCUACGGGAGGCAGCAGUGGGGAAUAUUGGACAAUGGGCGAAAGCCUGAUCCAGCAAUACCGCGUGUGUGAAGAAGGCCUUAGGGUUGUAAAGCACUUUCAAUUGGGAGGAAAACCUGUCGGUCAAUACCCGGCAGCUUGACAUUACCUUUAGAAGAAGCACCGGCUAACUCCGUGCCAGCAGCCGCGGUAAUACGGAGGGUGCGAGCGUUAAUCGGAAUUACUGGGCGUAAAGCGUGCGUAGGCGGUUCGUUAAGUCAGAUGUGAAAGCCCUGGGCUCAACCUGGGAACUGCAUUUGAAACUGGCGGACUAGAGUUUAGUAGAGGGGAGUGGAAUUUCAGGUGUAGCGGUGAAAUGCGUAGAUAUCUGAAGGAACACCAGUGGCGAAGGCGACUCCCUGGACUAGAACUGACGCUGAGGUACGAAAGCGUGGGUAGCAAACAGGAUUAGAUACCCUGGUAGUCCACGCCGUAAACGAUGUCGACUAGCCGUUGGUCCUAUUUACAGGAUUAGUGGCGCAGCUAACGCAUUAAGUCGACCGCCUGGGGAGUACGGCCGCAAGGUUAAAACUCAAAUGAAUUGACGGGGGCCCGCACAAGCGGUGGAGCAUGUGGUUU